ensembl:lncRNA
GUUUGUGGGCCGGUCUGGGUCCAGGUUUGUGGGCCGGUCUGGGUCCAGGUUUGUGGGCCGGUCUGGGUCCAGGUUCGUGGGCCGGUCUGGGUCCAGGUUCGUGGGCCGGUCUGGGUCCAGGUUCGUGGGCCGGUCUGGGUCCAGGUUCGUGGGCCGGUCUGGGUCCAGGUUCUGGGCCGGUCUGGGUCCAGGUUUCUGGGCCGGUCUGGGUCCAGGUUUCUGGGCCGGUCUGGGUCCAGGUUCGUGGGCCGGUCUGGGUCCAGGUUCGUGGGCCGGUCUGGGUCCAGGUUCGUGGGCCGGUCUGGGUCCAGGUUCGUGGGCCGGUCUGGGUCCAGGUUCGUGGGCCAGUCUGGGUCCAGGUUUGUGGGGCUGAGGUUGAGGCAAGGAUAUUGUAGAUAGUUGGUGAGGGCUGGUUGAGGGGUGUUGUAUUCAGUUCAGUAAUAGUCAUCAUGGACAACAAGGGGAGAAGGAAACUCCCUUUACUGGUCUGAUCUGGCCUUCUUUGGACCGGCAGCUUUCCUAAAGGAGAGAAACAACACGAUUCAACAGAUGAACAUAGACAGGGGGCUGGUGAAAGAGUCAGGAGAGAGCGUUAGGAGUGGAGCUGAGAGUCAAGACCAGAAUAAAAGUUGAGAGUUUAAGGUUCACCCGUGUUGAAUGUUCCAAUUUUUUUUUUUUUUUUUUUGUGCAUCUCUGAAGUGAUGUUGUAUCGAGUCAUGGAGAACAGAGAACAUCCCUGGUCAUCCCUACUGCCUCUGAUCUGGAGGACUCACUAAACAGAGAACAUCCUGUCAUGUUUAUCUAAGAUCUUGAUCAGAAACUCUGGCAGAGAUACAGUUGGUAUGAGGCAAAACGCAUUGUACCG